CUACGGGGCGCUGCAGUGGGGAAUAUUGCACAAUGGACGAAAGUCUGAUGCAGCAACGCCGCGUGGAGGAUGACACAUUUCGGUGCGUAAACUCCUUUUAUAUAAGAAGAUAAUGACGGUACUAUAUGAAUAAGCACCGGCUAACUCCGUGCCAGCAGCCGCGGUAAUACGGAGGGUGCAAGCGUUACUCGGAAUCACUGGGCGUAAAGAGCGUGUAGGCGGGUUAAUAAGUUGGAAGUGAAAUCCUAUGGCUCAACCAUAGAACUGCUUCCAAAACUGUUAACCUAGAAUAUGGGAGAGGUAGAUGGAAUUUCUGGUGUAGGGGUAAAAUCCGUAGAGAUCAGAAGGAAUACCGAUUGCGAAGGCGAUCUACUGGAACAUUAUUGACGCUGAGACGCGAAAGCGUGGGGAGCAAACAGGAUUAGAUACCCGAGUAGUC
rnacentral:rRNA from 1 species